GAUGAACGCUGGCGGCGUGCCUAAUACAUGCAAGUCGAGCGAACAGACGAGGAGCUUGCUCCUCUGACGUUAGCGGCAGACGGGUGAGUAACACGUGGAUAACCUACCUAUAAGACUGGGAUAACUUCGGGAAACCGGAGCUAAUACCGGAUAACAUGUUGAACCGCAUGGUUCAACAGUGAAAGACGGUUUUGCUGUCACUUAUAGAUGGAUCCGCGCCGCAUUAGCUAGUUGGUAAGGUAACGGCUUACCAAGACAACGAUGCGUAGCCGACCUGAGAGGGUGAUCGGCCACACUGGAACUGAGACACGGUCCAGACUCCUACGGGAGGCAGCAGUAGGGAAUCUUCCGCAAUGGGCGAAAGCCUGACGGAGCAACGCCGCGUGAGUGAAGAAGGUCUUCGGAUCGUAAAACUCUGUUAUUAGGGAAGAACAAAUGUGUAAGUAACUAUGCACGUCUUGACGGUACCUAAUCAGAAAGCCACGGCUAACUACGUG
rnacentral:rRNA from 1 species